ACCUACAACUCUCACCUGGUUUCCCAUUGAAGCUAAGCAGGGUUGAGCCUGGCCAGGACCUGGAUGGGAGAUCCCCUAGGGAAAACCAAGGUUGCUGUUGUAAGUG
rnacentral:rRNA from 1 species